AUACGGCAGAUGAAGACACAAGUUUUAGUAAGGGAGGGCUCCUGCAGAGAUCAAUUCACGGACGCUAAUGUUGCCUUGAAUUAUAGUAUGAUAACCGACAGAGAUCAAGUCAAAGUCAGGCCUGCAGCGAUGAGCCCCUUUCUUUCGGAUUGUGAAGUGUAAUGUUAAUGUUUAAUGUAGCUGUUUAACGUCGAAAAUUGUUAGUUUGUAAUUGUUUUUGAGAAGCAAAAUAAUUAAUCUGAGAAGUGUUUCCAGUUUUAUAAAGCUCAGGCAUGGGCACCGUAUUGUUUAUUUAGUUAUAUUUUAUACAAUAUCUUUGACCUUUGUCGCAUUAAGUUGUAGUACUACUACUAGUAGCGGGGUAGUACUAGUAAAUACUGAAUACUGUGUUUCGUUUAUUCUAUAAGUAUAUAAAUA